UACGUAGGUCCCGAGCGUUGUCCGGAUUUAUUGGGCGUAAAGCGAGCGCAGGUGGUUUAUUAAGUCUGGUGUAAAAGGCAGUGGCUCAACCAUUGUAUGCAUUGGAGACUGGUAGACUUGAGUGCAGGAGAGGAGAGUGGAAUUCCAUGUGUAGCGGUGAAAUGCAUAGAUAUAUGGAGGAACACCGGUGGCGAAAGCGGCUCUCUGGCCUGUAACUGACACUGAGGCUCGAAAGCGUGGGGAGCAAACAGG
rnacentral:rRNA from 1 species